AAGUCGUAACAAGGUUUCCGUAGGUGAACCUGCGGAAGGAUCAUUAUAGAGUUCAUGGCCCUAUAAGGGUAGAUCUCCCAACCUUGAAUAUUUUACUUUGUUGUUUUGGUGAAUUGUUCUUUAGUAACCACUUUAAUUAGUGAGUGUUUGCCAAAAAAUCGAAAAUUCUAAAUAAUUUAAUGUCUGAGAAUUACAUAAUAGUUAAAACUUUCAACAACGGAUCUCUUGGUUCUG
rnacentral:misc_RNA from 1 species